rnacentral:lncRNA from 1 species
GCGGCGCCGGCUCGAGGAGGCCCGGCUCCCCUUCCCGGCGCCGCCCGCCCGCGACCACCUCUCUAACCCGGCUCCCAGCCCCCCAGGCUCCCGCGCGCUCCCCGAGCCGGAGGCCUGGGAGAAAACCCGGGCUCGGGAAGGAAGGGAGGGCCGGGACCUGCAGCCCGCGCCCGGGAAGCCGCCGCGGCAGGAGCGGGAACCAAACUCACGACGGCCCCCGCCAGCGGCGCCUCGGCGGUCGGGCCCCGAGAAGGUGGUGUGUGCUGGCAACACCCAUCCUUGCCUUCUGCUCAUUCUGUGGAGCCCCUGCCUGGAAUGCAUAGGAGCCGUUGUCCCACAGCCACCUCACCUUCAACCUGGCGAGCCUGGAACCCAGCACCUUUAAACCCUCUAAGACAAACGCCCAGGCAUGAGUAAUGAACAAGAGUGUGACUGCAGCUUUGGAACCAACCACACUGGCCAGUCACCAGAGACCCUCUCCUCCCCAGAGCCACCAAAGGCCGCUCAAGAAGGCCAAAGCUGGAAAGGAAAGAGGCAAAACAGCAAGAUAACUUGAGUAAUCCUAUCCCUUUUCCCACGUUUACUGAUUUGACUUCAAAACUCAAAAUUUUGAAAAGUUGGUAGCAUUACUUUGAAAGAACACAAGAAUGAUACACAGAAUCAGAGGCCAAAAGAAUGUAACUUCCCCUCUUCCAGGAGAAUAACUUGAUGGAUGCCUGGAGGAUUUCCAGUCUGACUCCCAUCUGAGGGAUAGGUUUCCGGGGACCCUGACCCCUUCCCCAGGACGCCAGUGUCAUGCCUGUGCCACUUUCCUUGAACCCUUCCCCUGCAUAACAGAUUGCUCCCUUUGUCCAGCCUGCCAGCUGCCACACCUGCUAUUAGAGUUGGUCUCUGUGUGAGCCGCAGGAGGGAGGGAUGUCUUCUGCCUCACUCCUGCAUCUCCCUGCCCAAGGCCUGGCACGCCCCAGUGAGUGAGGGGAUAUUUGCCAAAGGACUGACUUGUGACAGGUGAGUGAGACAUGCCCGGCUUGCCUUACAGAAACCAUGCGUCCUGCCCUUUAUUGGUAACAGUCCGUAAAGCUCCAGCAACCCCAACCUCAUGUGCAGAGGCUGCCAGCUCGCCCUCUGCCAAGCAGUCGAGUGGAGAUGAGGUAUAGAUAUAUGCAACCCUAUAUAACCAUUAAAAUUGUGUUUUUGAAGAAUAUUUCAUAUCUGUAAAAAUGUUCAUGAUAUGUUGGGGAAAGGAAGGCUACAAAACAGAAUAUGCAAUAGAUACAUAUAUCCUCUAUUUAGUCUUCAAGGUCGCUAUGAUUGGGGAAACAUAAAUAACUUUCCUCCAUAAUUAUUUGAAUCCAGUUCCAUGAUCAUUAUUCCUCUCCCUUAUUCCCACUCUGAGACCCCAGAGAUGAACAAUAUGUAGCAAGCCUCCCUGCCCCCCGCAAGACUAAGGGGAAGAUAAGUGUGAAGCAGCUAACAAAAAAUACAAGGCAG